rnacentral:rRNA from 1 species
GACGAACGCUGGCGGCGUGCUUAACACAUGCAAGUCGAACGGAAAGGCCCUGCUUUUGUGGGGUGCUCGAGUGGCGAACGGGUGAGUAACACGUGAGUAACCUGCCCUUGACUUUGGUAUAACUUCAGGAAACUGAGGCUAAUACCGGAUAGGAGCUCCUGCUGCAUGGUGGGGGUUGGAACGUUGCGGCGGUUGGGGAUGGACUCGCGGCUGAUCAGCUUGUUGGUGGGGUAGUGGCUUACCAAGGCUUUGACGGGUAGCCGGCCUGAGAGGGUGACCGGCCACAUUGGGACUGAGAGACGGCCCAGAGUCCUACGGGAGGCAGCAGUGGGGAAUAUUGCACAAUGGGCGGAAGCCUGAUGCAGCAACGCCGCGUGCGGGAUGACGGCCUUCGGGUUGUAAACCGCUUUCGCCUGUGACGAAGCGUGAGUGACGGUAAUGGGUAAAGAAGCACCGGCUAACUACGUG